CCUCUGGCUCCAUUCGUGGUGCCCCGAAGUCCAAACGCAUCACUGAUGUCCCCCACGACAUUUGGUCUUACAUCUCAGUCUGCUACUAAAAAAAAGCCCGCUACGACUGCGAACACAGUGCUACACCGCAAACCUCACAGAUCCCUCUCUCCUUGGAAGUUUUAGAUCAAAGCCCUCACAGGCAUCCAGAAGUUCCCCAAAUAAAUCCCCCAAAGAGCAUUCCACUCCGGUGUCCAGCACACUCAGAGACCAGAGUCCAGUCUUGAGCCGCUAUUCCCUGAGAGAACGGUUAGUCAAGUUUUGCUGCAGAGCAAUUUAACACAGUUUUUGUUCUGGUCUAUUCUGUCAUUGGAUUGAUUUGUUUUUUUCAUUAAAG